UGGGGAAUCUUCCGCAAUGGACGAAAGUCUGACGGAGCAACGCCGCGUGAGUGAUGAAGGCCUUCGGGUUGUAUAACUCUGUUGUCAGGGACGAACGUGCCGAUCUACAAUACAUUUCGGCAGUGACGGUACCUGACGAGGAAGCCACGGCUAACUACGUGCCAGCAGCCGCGGUAAUACGUAGGUGGCAAGCGUUGUCCGGAAUUAUUGGGCGUAAAGAGCAUGUAGGCGGGCUUUUAAGUCCGACGUGAAAAUGCGGGGCUUAACCCCGUAUGGCGUUGGAUACUGGAAGUCUUGAGUGCAGGAGAGAAAAGGGGAAUUCCCAGUGUAGCGGUGAAAUGCGUAGAUAUUGGGAGGAACACCAGUGGCGAAGGCGCCUUUCUGGACUGUGUCUGACGCUGAGAUGCGAAAGCCAGGGUAGCAAACGGG
rnacentral:rRNA from 1 species